CUACGGGAUGCUCCAGUGGGGAAUAUUGCACAAUGAGCGAAAGCUUGAUGCAGCCAUACCGCGUGUGUGAAGAAGGCCCGAGGGUUGUAAAGCACUUUCAAUUGGGAGGAAGGUUAAGUAGUUAAUACCUGCUUAAUUUGACGUUACCUUUAGAAGAAGCACCGGCUAACUCUGUGCCAGCAGCCGCGGUAAUACAGAGGGUGCAAGCGUUAUUCGGAAUUACUGGGCGUAAAGCGCGCGUAGGCGGACUAUUAAGUCAGUUGUGAAAGCCCUGGGCUCAACCUGGGAACUGCAUCUGAUACUGGUAGUCUAGAGUUUAAGAGAGGGAAGUGGAAUUCCAGGUGUAGCAGUGAAAUGCGUAGAUAUCUGGAGGAACAUCAGUGGCGAAGGCGACUUCCUGGCUUAAAACUGACGCUGAGGUGCGAAAGCGUGGGUAGCGAACGGGAUUAGAUACCCCGGUAGUC
rnacentral:rRNA from 1 species